UACGUAGGUGGCGAGCGUUGUCCGGAUUUACUGGGUGUAAAGGGCGCGUAGGCGGGCGCUUAAGUCAGAUGUGAAAUACCGGAGCUCAACUCCGGGGCUGCAUUUGAAACUGGGCGUCUUGAGUGCGGGAGAGGUAAGUGGAAUUCCUAGUGUAGCGGUGAAAUGCGUAGAUAUUAGGAGGAACACCAGUGGCGAAGGCGACUUACUGGACCGUAACUGACGCUGAGGCGCGAAAGCGUGGGGAGCAAACAGG
rnacentral:rRNA from 1 species